AGACUUGUCCACAAAUUUUAUUUAUUUUACUACUGAAACAUAUAGAUACCAUUUAAAGACGAAUUUAGUUUGGAGCUAUUUUAAAAAGACAUACAGAUAGUAAUUAUAACAAACUAUAAAUUGAGUUGUAAUACAGGCAUGAAUACUCAUCCCAUGUACUGGCUGCCCAAACGUACAACUCUCUUUCAUUACUAGAUACUAGUUUUGAGAUCGAUAACUAUCAAUACUACAAAUGCUAAUGCCCGAUAAAGUUUUUCUAAAAAUGGAACAUUCACGAUUUAGAUCCGUAUUUUUGGAGAAUUAUUAUUUGUUGAAACACAAAAAGAAUCUUACUGAUGUAAAACAACAUCUAAAGGGUUUGAAAUUUUUCACAAAAAAUUAUGCAACUGCCGUUGCUAUGGCGACAAUGACGUUUUAAAAUGGCGGAUAUUAUGGCUUUAAAGUAAUUUGUGUAGGUUCGAGUGCAAUUUGAGAUAAACAUGCACGAGUGAGUUUUUCAAAGAGGAUCAAAAUUGCACAAGUCCAAAGGACGAGUGCAAAUUGAAGUGUUUGAAAAACUCACGAGUGUAUGUCUUUCCAAAUUGCACGAGAAACCAUACUAUUACUUAUUAAGAGGAGAUUUUUCUGUAUGUCACGUAACAAGCGCUCAAAACUAAUACCUAUAAU